UGGGCGUAAAGCGUGCGCAGGCGGUUAGGUAAGACAGAUGUGAAAUUCCCGGGCUCAACCUGGGAACUGCAUUUGUGACUGCCUGACUAGAGUGCGGCAGAGGGGAGUGGAAUUCCGCGUGUAGCAGUGAAAUGCGUAGAUAUGCGGAGGAACACCGAUGGCGAAGGCAACUCCCUGGGCCUGCACUGACGCUCAUGCACGAAAGCGUGGGGAGCAAACAGGAUUAGAUACCCUGGUAGUCCACGCCCUAAACGAUGUCGACUAGUUGUUGGACGGGUUACUGUUCAGUAACGAAGCUAACGCGUGAAGUCGACCGCCUGGGGAGUACGGCCGCAAGGUUAAAACUCAAAGGAAUUGACGGGGACCCGCACAAGCGGUGGAUGAUGUGGUUUAAUUCGAUGCAACGCGAAAAACCUUACCUACCCUUGACAUGCCAGGAACUUACCAGAGAUGGUUUGGUGCUCGAAAGAGAGCCUGGACACAGGUGCUGCAUGGCUGACGUCAGCUCGUGUCGUGAGAUGUUGGGUUAAGUCCCGCAACGAGCGCAACCCUUGUCAUUAGUUGCUACGCAAGAGCACUCUAAUGAGACCGCCGGUGACAAACCGGAGGAAGGUGGGGAUGACGUCAAGUCCUCAUGGCCCUUAUGGGUAGGGCUACACACGUCAUACAAUGGGCGGUACAGAGGGUUGCCAACCCGCGAGGGGGAGCCAAUCCCUUAAAACCGCUCGUAGUCCGGAUUGUAGUCUGCAACUCGACUGCAUGAAGUCGGAAUCGCUAGUAAUCGCGGAUCAGCUUGCCGCGGUGAUACGUUCCCGGU
rnacentral:rRNA from 1 species